rnacentral:rRNA from 1 species
AGUGAACGCUGGCGGUAGGCCUAACACAUGCAAGUCGAACGGCAGCACAGUAAGAUCUUGCUCUUACGGGUGGCGGGUGGCGGACGGGUGAGGAAUACAUCGGAAUCUACUUUUUCGGGGGGGAUAACGGAGGGAAACUUACGCUAAUAGCGCAUACGACCUACGGGUGAAAGCAGUGGAUAUUCGGACCUUGCGCGAUUCAAUGAGACGAUGCCGGAUUAGCUAGUUGGCUGGGUAAAGGCCCACCAAGGCGACGAUCCGUAGCUGGCCUGAGAGGAUGAUCAGCCGCACUGGAACUGAGACACGGUCCAGACUCCUACGGGAGGCAGCAGUGGGGAAUCUUGGACAAUGGGCGCAAGCCUGAUCCAGCAAUACCGCGUGGGUGAAGAAGGCCUUCGGGUUGUAAAGCCCUUUUGUUGGGAAAGAAAAGCAGCAGGUUAAUACCCCGAUGUUCUGACGGUACCCAAAGAAUAAGCACCGGCUAACUUCGUG